rnacentral:rRNA from 1 species
CCCUUAGAUGUUCUGGGCCGCACGCGCGCUACACUGAUGCAUUCAACGAGUCUAAAACCUGGUCUGAUAGGGCUGGGUAAUCUUUUGAAUGUGCAUCGUGAUUGGGAUAGAUGAUUGCAAUUCUUCAUCUUCAACGAGGAAUGCCUAGUAAACGCAAGUCAUCAGCUUGCAUUGAUUACGUCCCUGCCCUUUGUACACACCGCCCGUCGCUACUACUGAUUGGAUGUUUAAGCGAGGUUCUCGAACUGCUAGCGACUUAGCUUCGGUGAGGUCGCAGUGUGGGAAGUGAACCUAGCUUUGGUGUCUAGAGGAAGUAAAAGUCGUAACA